UGAGCCAUGAGGAAGAGCGGGCCUGAGCCCGAGGGGCAGCCGGGCCCGUUCCCACCUGGGGUCGAGCAGCUUCUCCUGCGGGGCACGAAGCCAGGCCACUUCUCCCCUGCGAGUGCGAGCAGAGCGGGCGCUGGGCGUUAAGGUGUCGUGAGCUUCGGGCUCAGUGUGGGAGUGGCACCCACGCCACAGGUGUUCAAGAGUCAGAGUUGUGCCGUUUGAUGCAAUGAGCUGGGAACCCUUCCGUCCUCGUUCAGGAUCCAGAAGGGAAUCGCGGUGCCUGGGCUGGGCACAGACAGGGAUGUCUUGCAAACGUGAAGACCUUGGCAGUAAACGGAUGGUUUCAGGACAUGGAGCAAUAAAAGAUGUUCGUUCUU